ensembl:misc_RNA Y_RNA Y RNA
GGCUAGUCCAAAGGUAGUGACAGUUAUCUCAAUUAAUUGUUCACAGUCAGUUACAGAUUGAACUCCUGUUCUAUGCUUUUCCCCCUUUUCACUACUGCACUUGACUCAUCUUAA